AUUAAAAACAUGUCUAUCUAAGAAAUACCAAUCCAAGAUUGUGUGUCACGUACCUCGUGUAUCACUUCAAAACAGCCAACAUUUGAGCCUUCUUGAAAAAUAGAGCUAGCAUCCAAAUAUGACAGUUCCAAUGUAAACAAAUACGAUUUUUAUGCAGACUAUUGGAGCAACCUGGACUAUAAGCCAUAUUAAAGCGUAUAUAGAUGUAAAACUUCACAAAACAAAAAUAUAAACGUUCAGAAAUAACGGUUCGACGAAUAAAUAACACAGUUAUUGUCAGUUAAUCCACCUCGGAAUCUACUCCACUCCUCGAUAGUGAAACGUCGACAUAAUUCUGUAUAUUCUUGAUGGAUUUCUUUCAAAAAGCCCCCAGAAGAAAAAGCGUGAUUAAAAGAACAAUUUGACGUUCACUUUAUACACUUACGAAGACUUUAAGACCGUUAAAAUAGCGAAAAUGUAUGCACGUAUUGCUUCGUAUAUAAGAUCGGUGAACACUUUUUUCCAUCCAGCAAACCGCCCUAUCGAUUUUGUAAAGUCGUUUCUUUUUGGAUUUUUUCAUUAAUUCGGUUAGGGUUAGAGUUAGGGUUGAGGUUAGGGUUAGGGGUUAGGGUAGGGGUAGGGUUUGGGUUAGUUACAUAGCCAUUUAAC